UCGGGACAUCAUUACUUGGCAUUCAAUCUUUGGAGGUUGCUUGUGGAAUUUAUACUACUUACAUACAUAUGAUUAUCUGAUCGUAUGAUUUAAUUCUAACUGAUACAUGAGAAAAGCGUAAUUCUGUAAAGGUAACCAGUUUGUGGCCUUCCAAUUGUGAAAAAAUAGAAAUAUAUAUUUUCUAUGGUAUUGUGUUCAUCACAAGAGACUAUGCAAAAGUGUAUAAUAAAUCAUGC